rnacentral:rRNA from 1 species
GAUGAACGCUGGCGGCGUGCUUAACACAUGCAAGUCGAACGAAGCACUUUUGAUUGAUUCUUCGGAUGAAAGAGAUUGUGACUGAGUGGCGGACGGGUGAGUAACGCGUGGGUAACCUGCCUCAUACAGGGGGAUAACAGUUGGAAACGACUGCUAAUACCGGAUAGGUGAUAGGGAGGCAUCUCUCGAUCAUUAAAGUUGGGAUACAACACGGAUGGAUGAGCUUAUGGCGUAUUAGCUAGUAGGUGAGGUAACGGCUCACCUAGGCGAUGAUACGUAGCCGACCUGAGAGGGUGACCGGCCACAUUGGGACUGAGACACGGCCCAA